rnacentral:rRNA from 1 species
AACGAACGCUGGCGGCGUGGAUAAGACAUGCAAGUCGAACGGAAAUAUUGAAUAGCUUGCUAAUUGGUAUUUUAGUGGCGGACGGGUUAGUAACACGUGAGAAACUUACCCUCAAGACAGGAAUAGCCCAUGGAAACGUGGAUUAAUGCCUGAUGGUCUCUACGGAGUAAAGGAUGCCUUCGGGUAUCGCUUGAGGAUAGGCUCGCGUCCUAUCAGCUAGUUGGUGAGGUAAAGGCUCACCAAGGCGACGACGGGUAGCUGGUCUGAGAGGACGAUCAGCAACACUGGAACUGAGACACGGUCCAGACACCUACGGGUGGCAGCAGUCGAGAAUCAUUCACAAUGGGGGCAACCCUGAUGGUGCAACGCCGCGUGGAGGAUGACGGUCCUAGGAUUGUAAACUCCUGUCAUUGGGGAGUAAGACUUGGUUGUUAAUAGCCUCCAAGUUUGAUAGUACCCAAAGAGGAAGGGACGGCUAACUUCGUGCCAGCAGCCGCGGUAAUACGAAGGUCCCAAGCGUUGUUCGGAAUCACUGGGCGUAAAGCGUGUGCAGGCUGCGCGGAAAGUCAAAUGUGAAAGCCCGGGGCUUAACCCCGGAACUGCAUUCGAUACUCCCGUGCUAGAGUAAUGGAGAGGUAAGUGGAAUUCCCGGUGUAGCAGUGAAAUGCGUAGAUAUCGGGAGGAACAUCAAUGGCGAAGGCAACUUACUGGACAUUUACUGACGCUCAGACACGAAGGCUAGGGGAGCGAAAGGGAUUAGAUACCCCUGUAGUCCUAGCAGUAAACGGUGCUCGCUUGGUGUGGGAGGAUUCGACCCCUUCUGUGCCGGAGCUAACGCGUUAAGCGAGCCGCCUGGGAAGUACGGUCGCAAGACUAAAACUCAAAGAAAUUGACGGGGACCCGCACAAGCGGUGGAGUAUGUGGCUUAAUUCGAUGCAACGCGAAGAACCUUACCUAGGCUUGACAUGCUUGUCGUACCUUCCCGAAAAGGAAGGGUCACUUCGGGUGGACAAUGCACAGGUGCUGCAUGGCCGUCGUCAGCUCGUGUCGUGAGAUGUUUGGUUAAGUCCAGCAACGAGCGCAACCCCUGUGAAUAGUUGCCAGCGAGUAAUGUCGGGGACUCUAUUCAGACUGCCCAGAUCAACUGGGAGGAAGGUGGGGACGACGUCAGGUCAGUAUGGCCCUUACGCCUAGGGCUGCACACGUACUACAAUGCCCAGCACAAUGAGAACCGAUACCGCGAGGAGGAGGCAAUCUACAAAACUGGGCCCAGUUCGGAUUGGAGGCUGCAACUCGCCUCCAUGAAGUUGGAAUCGCUAGUAAUGCCGUAUCAGCUACGACGGCGUGAAUACGUUCCCGGGUCU